rnacentral:rRNA from 1 species
AGCCGGUUUGGUACAUUGUGGGUAAAUCAGACAGCUUAACUGUCUGAAUUCUGCGAGCACGGCCAAACUUGAGACCGGGAGAGGUGUAGGGUACCUGCGGGGUAGGGGUAAAAUCCUGUCAUCCCGUAGGGACCACCAGUUGCGAAGGCUCUACACUAGAACGGAUCUGACGGUCAGGGACGAAGCCUAGGGGCACGAACCGGAUUAGAUACCCGGGUAGUCCUAGGUGUAAACGCUGUGGACUUUGUGUCGGGAAUUCUUCGAGGAUUCUCGGUGCCGGAGUGAAGAUGUUAAGUCCACUGCCUGGGGAGUACGGUCGCAAGGCUGAAACUUAAAGGAAUUGGCGGGGGAGCACUGCAACGAGAGGAGCGUGCGGUUUAAUUGGAUUCAACGCCGGAAAACUCACCAAAGCCGACUGUUAUAUGAAGACCAGCGUAACGAGCUUGUCGGAUUUUCAGAGAGGUAGUGCAUGGCCGUCGUCAGUUCGUACCGUAAGGCGUUCUGUUAAGUCAGAUAACGAACGAGACCCCCAUCGUCAUUUGCUAACCCUUUCUCCGGAAAGGGCGCACUAUGGCGAGACCGCUGGCGUGAAGUCAGAGGAAGGCGGGGGCAACGGUAGGUCAGUAUGCUCCGAGUGCUUUGGGCUACACGCGCGCUACAAAGGACGGGACAAUGGGCAGCUACUCCGAGAGGAGAUGCUAUCCCGAAACCCGUUCGUAGUUCGGAUCGUGGGCUGUAACUCGCCCUCGUGAAGCUGGAUUUCGUAGUAAUCGCGUCUCANAAUGGCAC